rnacentral:rRNA from 1 species
UAAGCCAAUCCCACAAAUCUGUUCUCAGUUCGGAUCGCAGUCUGCAACUCGACUGCGUGAAGCUGGAAUCGCUAGUAAUCGCGGAUCAGCAUGCCGCGGUGAAUACGUUCCCGGGCCUUGUACACACCGCCCGUCACACCACGAGAGUUUGUAACACC